CAGGCUCUUCGCGUUCCUGUGCGUCGCGCACACCUUCGUUCUGGCAGGCACGGUGUGCUUCUAUUUCCAGGGGUCUGUGGGGGAACCAGCUCCUGGCCAUGACAUUGCUGGGGACACGUCACAGCCCCCGGGAGAGACCUUGAGGCCGGUGUGGGGGCCGAUGGACAAGUGCUACCCUGGGGCCUCUCAGAGACGCAGGGUCCGGAGCGGGAGGAAGGAGGCCGCUGAGG